GCAAGUCGAGCGAUGAAGCUUCCUUCGGGAAGUGGAUUAGCGGCGGACGGGUGAGUAACACGUGGGUAACCUGCUCAUAGUGGGGGAGAGCCUUUCGAAAGGAAGAUUAAUACCGAAUAAUAUUACGUUAUAGCAUGGUAAUGGAAUUAAGGGAGUGAUUCGCUAUGAGAUGGACCCGCGUCGCAUUAGCUAGUUGGUGAGGUAAUGGCUCACCAAGGCGACGAUGCGUAGCCGACCUGAGAGGGUGAUC
rnacentral:rRNA from 1 species